GCGGCGAGUGAAGCGGCAAAAGCUCAAAUUUGAAAUCUGGCGCCUUCGGUGUCCGAGUUGUAAUUUGAAGAUUGUAACCUUGGGGUUGGCUCUUGUCUAUGUUUCUUGGAACAGGACGUCACAGAGGGUGAGAAUCCCGUGCGAUGAGAUGCCCAAUUCUAUGUAAGGUGCUUUCGAAGAGUCGAGUUGUUUGGGAAUGCAGCUCUAAGUGGGUGGUAAAUUCCAUCUAAAGCUAAAUAUUGGCGAGAGACCGAUAGCGAACAAGUACAGUGAUGGAAAGAUGAAAAGAACUUUGAAAAGAGAGUGAAAAAGUACGUGAAAUUGUUGAAAGGGAAGGGUUUGAGAUCAGACUCGAUAUUUUGUGAGCCUUGCCUUCGUGGCGGGGUGACCCGCAGCUUAUCGGGCCAGCAUCGGUUUGGGCGGUAGGAUAAUGGCGUAGGAAUGUGACUUUACUUCGGUGAAGUGUUAUAGCCUGCGUUGAUGCUGCCUGCCUAG
rnacentral:rRNA from 1 species